GACGUAGGGCGCGAGCGUUGUCCGGAUUUAUUGGGCGUAAAGAGCUCGUAGGCGGCUUGUUGCGUCGACUGUGAAAACCCGCGGCUUAACUGCGGGCUUGCAGUUGAUACGGGCAGGCUCGAGUUCGGUAGGGGAGACUGGAAUUCCUGGUGUAGCGGUGAAAUGCGCAGAUAUCAGGAGGAACACCGGUGGCGAAGGCGGUUCUCUGGGCAUUACCUGACGCUGAGGAGCGAAAGUGUGGGGAGCGAACAGG
rnacentral:rRNA from 1 species